rnacentral:rRNA from 1 species
AAGCGAAUCACUAAAAGACAGUCUCAGUUCGGAUUGAAGUCUGCAACUCGACUUCAUGAAGCUGGAAUCGCUAGUAAUCGCGGAUCAGAAUGCCGCGGUGAAUACGUUCUCGGGCCUUGUACACACCGCCCGUCAUACCAUGAGAGCUGGUAAUACCCGAAGCCGGUGGCCUAACCGCAAGGAAGGAGCCGUCGAAGGUAGGACUAGUGAUUGGGGUCAAGUCGUAACAAGGUAUCCCUACGAGAACGUGGGGAUGGAUCACCUCCUUUCUAAGGA